UACGUAGGGUGCAGGCGUUAAUCGGAAUUACUGGGCGUAAAGCGUGCGCAGGCGGUCUUUUAAGUCAGAUGUGAAAUCCCCGGGCUUAACCUGGGAACUGCGUUUGAAACUGGAAGGCUAGAGUGUGGCAGAGGGGGGGUGGAAUUCCACGUGUAGCAGUGAAAUGCGUAGAUAUGUGGAGGAACACCGAUGGCGAAGGCAGCUCGCUGGGACGGUACUGACGCUGAGACGCGAAAGCGUGGGGAGCAAACAGG
rnacentral:rRNA from 1 species